rnacentral:rRNA from 1 species
AGAGUUUGAUUAUGGCUCAGAACGAACGCUGGCGGCAUGCCUAACACAUGCAAGUCGAACGGGAUCCGGACUUCGGUUCGGUGAGAGUGGCGGACGGGUGAGUAACGCGUGGGAACCUGCCCAGUGGUGGGGGAUAACUGCGGGAAACUGCAGCUAAUACCGCAUGAGCCCGAGAGGGGAAAGAUUUAUCGCCAUUGGAGGGGCCCGCGUUCGAUUAGGUAGUUGGUGAGGUAAUGGCUCACCAAGCCGACGAUCGAUAGCUGGUCUGAGAGGAUGAUCAGCCACACUGGGACUGAGAUACGGCCCAGACUCCUACGGGAGGCAGCAGUGGGGAAUAUUGGACAAUGGGGGCAACCCUGAUCCAGCAAUGCCGCGUGAGUGAUGAAGGCCUUCGGGUUGUAAAGCUCUUUUGCCAGGGACGAUGAUGACGGUACCUGGAGAAUAAGCCCCGGCUAACUUCGUGCCAGCCGCCGCGGUAA